rnacentral:lncRNA from 1 species
UAUCAACAAGUUUUACUAUAUUGCGAAGUCAUACUUAACAUAGGUUUCAAACUAUAUCAUUAUACAAAGUUAACCAAAACAAACACCUAUGUACAUGUCACACAUAACCAAGCCUUAAAACGAUCAAAAGACUACCGAGUCAAUAGAUGUACAGUGUGAGCUUAUCAACGAUACGAUAGACAUGUUCCACAAGUCAACAAUCUACAAGGAAAAGGGAGACAACAAAGUAAGCAUAUUGAAUGCUUAGUAAGUCUAUAUGAAAUUUACUUAACUUACCUUGACAUUUCAACAAUUAAGAAAUCAAAAUACAUUGGAAUUAAGCAUGAUAGUCCUUUGACAUCCUUAUACAUUCAUAUGCAUUUCAACAAAUACAUCUAAUAGGUUAGUUCAUCUACAUGUUAUGAACUUAUAACACAUUCAUUUACAUAUGUAAAAAUUCAUCUUAUAUAAUAAACUAUCUAAAUCAUAUUCAAUUUGCAAACUUAUGUAAUUCAAUUCAUGUUCAAUCAUUUCAACCGUUUCAUUUCCUUUUAGUUACCAUUUACUCGCCCAGGAGAACCUUGGUAAACUGAAGUCGGAUACACAGGACUAUAGUGCUCACACAAGUUGACAGUAAUCAAGGUUUCUCACACAAGCUGACAUAUUUGAAUCGAGAAUCCGUAACAAAUGUUGGAUCUCAAAUAACCAUGUAAAUCCUUGAUUGUUUUUAUAUUUGAUCUUAAUGGCAUGCCAUACGUAUCUUAAUCCUAUACUAAGUUCACAUAGGCAUUAUUAUUGUAUUCGUCUCAAUUCAAUCAUUGUAACAAUAUAUACAUAUUAUAUCAAUAAUGUAAAUAUUUCAUAUCCAUUCAGUACCUUGUACCUGUUCGUAAUUGCCAUAAAAUUCAUACCUUACAAUUUAAUCCAUUUGAUGUCAAAAGUCAUUACAUUCACAUCAAUACAAACUAAUACGUAAAAUAACACAAUACAAGAAUAACAUGAAUUAACAUAGUAAGUUCCAUAUAAACAUACCUGGUAAAACAACAAACAAGCAAUCUUUAAAGACUAAUCAACAAAUUUUUCUUUUCCCUAAUUAUCAUCGGUUUGAUUUAAUUCUCGAUCUAUAUAAUAAUUCAAUUCAAUUUAUCAAUUCCAAACAUCUUAUAUCAUCCUAUUAUAUGCAUAUAUCAAUUCAAUUUCAUUAUUUGAGUUCUCCCUAAAAUUUUACAUUUUAUUCAAUUUAGUCCCUAAAACCAAAAUUGCCAUAACUUUCAAAUUUGAGCUUCAAUUUUGAAACAAAUCUCAACUAAAUACUUAUAGGACCCUAUAAUAUCAACAAUGAUAGGAAGUUUUCAUCAAUUUUGAAAUUUGUACACUUUAGUCCUUAUGUUCAAAACUAACAAUUUUCACUUUACAGUCUAGUCUUUUUUUUCUUUUUUCUUUUUUACUUCUAAGCUUGAAAUCUAACAAUUUAGUACAAAUUUCUUCAAGCAUCAUAAAUGGAAAAUUUUAGAAACUUUAACAGUUUUGCAAAUUGGUACAUUGGUUAGCUAAAUCAAGCUCCCAUGACCUAAAAAAUAUAAAAAUUAUAAGAAAAAGGACUUGAGAUCAUACCAAAUUGAGGGACCAAUUGUAUGAAAGCUUUAAACCCUAUUUUUCCUCUUUAGUUUCGAG